UCCGGUGGCGGGCAGGCCUACACAUGCAGUCGAGCGGUAGCACAGAGAGCUUGCUCUCGGGUGACGAGCGGCGGACGGGUGAGUAAUGUCUGGGAAACUGCCUGAUGGAGGGGGAUAACUACUGGAAACGGUAGCUAAUACCGCAUAAUGUCGCAAGACCAAAGUGGGGGACCUUCGGGCCUCAUGCCAUCAGAUGUGCCCAGAUGGGAUUAGCUAGUAGGUGGGGUAACGGCUCACCUAGGCGACGAUCCCUAGCUGGUCUGAGAGGAUGACCAGCCACACUGGAACUGAGACACGGUCCAGACUCCUACGGGAGGCAGCAGUGGGGAAUAUUGCACAAUGGGCGCAAGCCUGAUGCAGCCAUGCCGCGUGUGUGAAGAAGGCCUUCGGGUUGUAAAGCACUUUCAGCGGGGAGGAAGGCGUUAAGGUUAAUAACCUUGUCGAUUGACGUUACCCGCAGAAGAAGCACCGGCUAACUCCGUGCCAGCAGCCGCGGUAAUACGGAGGGUGCAAGCGUUAAUCGGAAUUACUGGGCGUAAAGCGCACGCAGGCGGUCUGUCAAGUCGGAUGUGAAAUCCCCGGGCUCAACCUGGGAACUGCAUUCGAAACUGGCAGGCUAGAGUCUUGUAGAGGGGGGUAGAAUUCCAGGUGUAGCGGUGAAAUGCGUAGAGAUCUGGAGGAAUACCGGUGGCGAAGGCGGCCCCCUGGACAAAGACUGACGCUCAGGUGCGAAAGCGUGGGGAGCAAACACGAUUAUAUACCGCGUGUAAAAACAUACACACUAA
rnacentral:rRNA from 1 species